GGAUGGCCCCACUGUGUGCAGAACCAGCCCUCCUGCCAGGAUGUCCAAUGUCAGAAGGGAACGGAGUGUGUGAUGGUGGAUGGUUGGCCACAGUGCGUCCAAAUUAAGACUUCCAUCAGGAGACCCACCUGUAGUGAUUUCCACUGUUCCAAGGGGACGGUGUGUGAGAUGGUGGAUGGAUGGCCUCAAUGUUUGCAACCCAAGGUGGCCCCAAGGCAGCCUUCUUGCAAGGACAUGCAGUGUCCCAAAGGGACCUCAUGUAGGAUAAGAGAUGGAUGGCCCCACUGUGUGCAGAACCAGCCCUCCUGCCAGGAUGUUCAGUGUCAGAAGGGAACGGAGUGUGUGAUGGUGAAUGGUUGGCCUCAGUGUGUCCAGACAAAGUCUUCCAUCAGGAGACCCACCUGUAGUGACGUUCGGUGCUCCAAAGGUUCAGUGUGUCAGAUGGUGGAUGGAUGGCCUCAAUGUGUUCAACUCAAGGUGGUCCCAAAGCAGCCUUCUUGCAAGGACAUUCAGUGCCCCAAAGGGACGUCGUGUAGGAUGACAGAUGGGUGGCCCCACUGUGUGCAGAACCAGCCCUCCUGCCAGGAUGUCCAGUGUCAGAAGGGAACUGUGUGCCAGAUGGUGGAUGGAUGGCCUCAUUGUGUCCAAAUCAAGACUUCCAUCAGGAGACCCACCUGUAGUGACCUACAGUGUUCCAAAGGUUCAGUGUGUGAGACGGUGGAUGGUUGGCCCCAGUGUGUUCAACCCAAGGUGGUCCCAAGGCAGCCUUCUUGCAAGGACAUGCAGUGUCCCAAGGGGUCCUCAUGUAGGAUGACAGAUGGGUGGCCCCACUGUGUUCAGAACCAGCCGUCCUGCCAGGAUGUUCAGUGUCAGAAGGGAACCGUGUGCCAGAUGGUGGAUGGAUGGCCUCAUUGUGUCCAAAUCAA
ensembl:lncRNA